rnacentral:ncRNA from 1 species
ACGGAAGCCCGGUGAGGCCUAGGCCGAUCCGGAAGAGAAGGGUCAGUCUCCCGAUCCGGGCGCCUAGCACGGUUCCCGGCACCCACGCGGAGUCAUAGCCGCGAUAAUGGCAGAAGUGUUGCGGGCCUGCGUAAUUGCGGGAAGCGGACGGUAUCGACGGCCCUUUGGGUGGGGUUGCAGCCGGAGGCGCCGCAAGAUCGCCGAGGCCACCCACGCAGCCCAGAAAUGGACGCAUGGUAACCGGGUUCCGUGUUAGCGGGCGGCGCACCGACCAGUUUCGGUACGCCGCCCGCAUUGCAUU